GGUAUAUAGCUCAGGGGUAGAGCACGUGCUUAACAUGCAUGAGGUCCUGGGUUCAAUCCCCAGUAACCU
rnacentral:tRNA from 1 species